ACUGUUAUUUGAACCUUGUAAGUCAGUGUAUGCUAAAUAUACUCAGCAUUUUAAUGAAAGCUGCAGUUGAAUCAUACAAAUUCAUCUUGUUAUUGGCUGGAAAAUACCUUAUUUUAUAAGUCAAAGAUCUAGGAUUCCUUAAAAUUCUCAAGUAAGUUCCAGUGGGUAUAAUGGCCCUAAAUUAUUCAUAUACAGCUCCAGGUUUUUAUUACGUUUUCUGAAUUACCUUUUUCAUAAAGUAGGAGCUCUGUAUUUUAACUGUGCAUAAGUCAAUACCUCAUUGAGAACACGAGUUGGAGAGAGACGUUAUUUCACAUUAGGUAAUGCUAAGCUAUCACUGUUUCCUUCCCUGCAUGUCUCUCUUUGGAAGCUUUCUUCUGUUUGAGUUAUGUCACGCUGAAUUGGAACCUUAAGUAUGAGUUCUAUAUUCAUUUCCUUGUUGUUGCUUUGAGGCUAAGAAGCAGUCGCAGUAAGAGAGUUAAGAAAGUAAGAGUUAAAGUAAAGUAAGAGUUAGGCUGAGUGUGAGGAAAACUGCUGGUUUUUUUUUUGUUGUUGUUCCCUGUGCACAACUUAGCAGAAAUUGGAUCUCUUCUGCUUCAGCUUAGUCAGUCAGUGGCUAUUAGAAAAGUUCUUCUAGUUUUUGUUCUGCUGUGGAGAACAGGUGGAAGCAAUUCACUUGCCUGACCAAGGGGUGCAGGCUGGUUCCACCCUUUCCUAACCUCAUUUAAGGGCUGGCUGCCUCCAGGGAAGGAGCUCUGCUUGGAGGUCUGCCCUUUUGUAGUGUUUUGUGUUCCUGUUCCUCAGAAAGGGGUAAGUAGUUCUGUGGUUAUUUACUAGGUUGAGUCCUCUGUGUUUCUUGGGUAAUUUAAAGCUGUGUCUGCUAAUGUCUAUGUCUGCAGUUGCUGCCCCAUGGAGGCCCCUCUUGGUUGACAAUGGCAGUUGGUAUCUGUGGGGUGAGAGGAGUCUGUGUAGAAGCGGUGGUACUUAGGAGGAAGACACCAUUUGUCUUUAUGCUUUAUAGUGCAUCUCAGCUGGAUGCAAUGCUCUGUGUGCAAGAUCAUCAUUGGAGUGCUGACGUGCAUGUGUGAAUUUAAGUGCAAUUAUUUACUUGUGUUCACUUGUGGGAGUUGAUUGAAUGGCCUGAGGAAAGCAGAUGAAUAAUGUAAGGAAAUCUUUGCAGAAUCACGCAAAGUUCUAAAUGGUUUUCAGUGCAACAUGAAACAUCCCUUACUCUUCUCUUCUUCUGAAUCCUCAGUUUCAUAUGCUUUCGUUGAAUUAUUUUUCUCCUUUCUCAUCAUCAAGUAAUCAACACUAAAUUGUUUAAAGGUGCUAUUACUGAACUUUCUGCUCUCUUCCAUGAAUUAAAAUUUUAUUUUGUCAAGCGGUGCAAGAACUCAGAAAAUAAAAACUCAGAAA
ensembl:lncRNA